UGAUGCUAUGUAACUUUGCCUAGCAAGUUAUCCCUGAUUGGUGCAUAAAGACGCCUACAAUCAACAGCUGGGGAGAAGAGAGAUGGGGGGUGGUCUUGGGCUCCCAAAAGAUGCCAUGGGUUAGGACCCAAGAAACCAUGGCCAUAAGUGCUGGCCAGUUGGAGUUAAAAGCAGCCUAGAUGAAACAUAGGACAUCUAUGUUGUUUCCAGUUUCCAGCUUCCAGCUUCUGCGAAUAAAGCAGCUAUGAACAUAGAAUAACACAGUGCAAAUGCAAAGGACCAAAUGGAUGGGCACAGGCUUUUCUCAGGGUCUCGAACUCGGGACUAGAGAUGCAAGUUGGAGAAUCGGACUGCUUGGACAAUCAAAUGGAGAUCAUGAAGAAAAAACACUGGACCCAAUACAGAAAGCAACAGAUCGUGGGGAGCUCAAUCCUAACAGAUAAAUCUACAGGGUGGCUCCUGCAUCUAUGGCUAUGAGAACACUGUGGGAGAAGGAGGGAUGACCGCACCAGGCAGACGAUCAGGAAGACUGCCAUGCAACAGUAUCUCCUAGAAAUGGCUGUAUGAACAUGAACAAAAAAAUAGCAAUGCCAUUGGAUAUGUUACUAUGAAGUGAAAAUUUUGUCUGGUCUCACCCUUAGACAAAGAACAAGAGGCAACUAAUGACUGCUGGGAGAAGGAGACUCGCCCUUCCUCGGGUUAGCUUUUUAUUGGUUGCCCAAUAGAUAUGGUCAGCCCUGCAAACAUCUAUAUACGCACAGGCAAAAAUGGACUCAGCAAGUUGUA